AAGUCGUAACAAGGUUUCCGUAGGUGAACCUGCGGAAGGAUCAUUACACGUACCUGUAGGCUUUUCAGCUCUACAUGUAUACAACACCAAACUGUGCUCUUUUCUCCUCACCCCACACACUUAACCUCAUUUUUUACUCGACUGACCAGUUUUUGUCUGUUUAAGCCUUGUAUAAGCCUAUACGGCUGUACUUGUGCCUGCCUUACAAAAUCUGUAGCCCAUACUUUGCUAUGUGGCUACUUUAUGAACCAAUAGGAUACAACUCCUAACAAUGGAUAUCUAGGCUCUC
rnacentral:misc_RNA from 1 species